GGGGUAUCGUAAUAACCAAAAAAUUGCUCAGCACAAAAGAUCCACUCAUGCACGUUAGUGCCAUCGAAACGAGGAAAUUCGAGUUUGACAUUUCUCACCUGAAACGGAGGCCUGUUGUUGAGUUCUGCACCAUGGCGAUGCUUCGACGGUGUCUGCUGAAUGAGGAUGUCAAGCGCUGCGUGGAUAUCAUCAAACUUUGAUGUGUUACUAGCUUCUAAUCGUUCCAUACGCUCAAGGACUUCAGUCUGAAACAACCGCAUCUCCUCAUUAGUGCGCUUGAUCUCAGCUUGCAGCUCUUUGUUUUGGGGUUCGGCCAUGGUGUAAUGAAAGC
rnacentral:lncRNA from 1 species